AUGGCUGUCGUCAGCUCGUGUCGUGAGAUGUUGGGUUAAGUCCCGCAACGAGCGCAACCCUUACUUUUAGUUGCUACCAUUUAGUUGGGCACUCUAAAAGAACUGCCAGUGAUAAGCUGGAGGAAGGUGGGGAUGACGUCAAGUCCUCAUGGCCCUUACGUGUUGGGCUACACACGUGCUACAAUGGUACUUACAAUGAGAUGCGAAGAGGCGACUCUAAGCCAAUCCCAAAAAGGUACCUCAGUUCGGAUUGUACUCUGCAACUCGAGUACAUGAAGCUGGAAUUGCUAGUAAUCGCGGAUCAGCGCGCCGCGGUGAAUACGUUCCCGGGUCUUGUACACACCGCCCGUCACACCAUGGAAGUUGGUUACACCUUAAAGCAAAAUGUUAACCUUCGGGAAACAUUUGACUACGGUACGAUCAGCGACUGGGGUGAAGUCGUAACAAGGUAGCCGUAGGGGAACCUGCGGCUGGAUCACCUCCUUUCUAAGGAAAUCGAAAAAUAUUAAAACAAUUAUUUUCGAUUUAAAAAAAACCGGUAAUGUGACCGUCCUCAUUUCUCUUCUUUUAAUGUCUCUGAGUAAAAAUAUAGUGUAAGGGGCCGGUAGCUCAGGUGGUUAGAGCGCACCCCUGAUAAGGGUGAGGUCGGAAGUUCGAAUCUUCCUCGGCCCACCAAUAUUAUGGGGGAUUAGCUCAGCUGGGAGAGCGCCUGAUUUGCAUUCAGGAGGUCAGCGGUUCGAUCCCGCUAUCCUCCACCAACGAAUUGAGACAUUCAGCUUUUUUAAAUUGUAAAUAUUAUUAUUAUCAAUAUCUAUAUCCGAUUGUUUUCAGAUAUUUUUUUGAAAACAAUCAAAACAAAAAUUUAAUUUAUUACAGAAAAGUUUUUUUCUGUGCAUAAAUCAAGCGUUUAAGGGCGAUUGGCGGAUGCCUUGGCACUGUAAGACGAUGAAGGACGUGGUAUACUGCGAUAAGUUUCGGGGAGCCGUAUGCGGGCCUUGAUCCGAAAAUUUCCGAAUGGGGAAACCCGG
rnacentral:sRNA from 1 species